AUUGAACGCUGGCGGGAUGCCUUACACAUGCAAGUCGAACGGAGUGGCGAACGGGUGAGGAAUGUAUCGGAACGUGCCCAGUAGCGGGGGAUAACUACGCGUAAGCGUAGCUAAUACCGCAUACUAUUGGAGCGGCCUAUAUCGGAUUAGCUAGUUGGUGGGGUAACGGCUGACCAAGGCGACGAUCAGUAGCGGGUCUGAGAGGACGACCAGCCACACUGGGACUGAGACACGGCCCAGACUCCUACGGGAGGCAGCAGUGGGGAAUUUUUGACAAUGGGCGAAAGCCUGAUCCAGCCAUGCCGCGUGUGCGAUGAAGGCCUUCGGGUUGUAAAGCACUUUUGGCAGGGAAGCGGUACCUGCAGAAUAAGCACCGGCUAACUACGUGCCAGCAGCCGCGGUAAUAC
rnacentral:rRNA from 1 species